UAAUUUUUUUUGAAAUGAAUAUUCAUAUAUCCGUUCGGAUUCAAUUAAUUUAUUCGAAUUUCGGACUUUUAGGGUUAGAAAUUUAAAUCGUAUUCAGAUAUUUAUAAAUUUUGGUUUGGAUUUGGUUCGAAUCAUUGCGGGGUUGGUUCGGAUUUGAGUUCGGAUACCCAUUUUAAUUAUGUAUUUUUAAACAAAAAUCCAAAUAUAAUUGAUAUUAAAACAAAAUAAUAUAAAACAUAAAAAUUUGAAUAAUGUAAGACUAGAUAUUUAAAUUUACAUAAAAAUUAAUUCAAUUUAAAUAUUUGGAUGGAGAACAAAUAAAUAUUUUCAGUAUUUUGAACAUUUUUUUGUUGUUAUUUUAGAUAUUUACAUGUGAUAUAUGUUGAUAAUUUUUAGAUAUUUUCAUUUUUUGAAUAUCUAAUAGAUAUAAAAUUUAAAAUAAUUAAUAUAUUUAAAUAUAUAAUUAUGAUUUAGAUAUUUUUGGUGUAUCUAAAAUAUUUUAGUUUGGAUCAAAUUUGGAUCUGGUUAUUUGGAUAUUAAUCUUUUAGAUCCAUCUGAAUACUUUGCAAAAACUGAAGCAAAGGUUGAUUCCCAUCUAAACAAACAAUCAAGGAUGAUCAACGAAAGGGAUGAUCUCUAGCUCCAACCAGAAUUAUGAAAUCCAGUUACCUAGAAUUCAUGGUUGAGAUUAUAGGAGAAAGGGAAGACAAAAACUAUAUCCGAACUUGUCGGAUACUUUAUUAUGCAAAAUAUUUAUUCAAUCUAGAAUAAAAAAAACAUAAGAACUUGAAGAAAAAAUCUGAUUCUAGAUUGAAAACACUACAAAGCCUAGAUAACUAUAUAGUCCGCAAGCGAAAGCAAAAAAACUCGAUCUAUUGACCGAAGAAAGUAUAUUUAAUUAAAAAAAAAGAGCCAUAAAUCUCUUUCCAUUCUGAAAGAUAUGAAAGAGUUAUAAAAAAAGGAAGAAUAGAGAAUUAUCUUUCUCUAAAAGAUAUGUAAAACAAUUCAUAAUAAAUUUUAAAUUUUGAAACGACAUUUACUAUAAAACUGAAUAUUUAUUGUCAUCGAACUAAGGUUGAAUAUUUUUGUUUGAGUUUUGAGAAUUUUAUGGAUAAUAUAGUAUGUACACGGUUGGCUACUGUUUAGAGAAUGUUGUUCGAGUGUUACUUUUCUUGAAUUUUAGUCUUCUAUACUAAGGAUCUAAGAGUUUGAAUGGAGAGCAGGAUAAAAGAUGGAUUGCACGCCAAAGUGGAUGCUUCACCUGUGAGUCUCCAUUCAAGAAAAUACAACCAAAACAUCGGAUACAUUAUUUAAAAAUGGUUGAUCCACUAGUGAUCCAGAUUAAUGAAGAAAUAUGAAGUAAAACAAUGGACUGCCUAUUACAGUAGAAUCACUCCAUAUUUGGAGUAUAACAAGCAGUUCACUCUUUUUUUUAGGUUUUUGGUUAUUAUUACAAUAUCAAAGUUGGUUAAUUUUACAUAAUUAUUAAUUUUAAAAUAGACUUGUUAUCCAUAUUUUGGUCACUAUUUAAACUGAUAAAGUACAAUAGAUUUAAAAUAUAUUUGUAUAUAUUGGUUCAUCACAAACAAUUUUUUAUACUUUUAAAUUUAUUUACAUAGUGAACCAAAAUAUAUUUAUAAAUUAUAUGUUUUAUAGAUUUAAAUAUAUUUAUGAUUUUAGCUCACAUUUUAAAAUAAUUAUAUAUUUAGUUAAAUUUAUUUUAUUAUAUUUUAAUACAAAAUUAUUAUAUUUAUAUAUGAAAUAUUCUAAAAAUAAUUAAAUUUUUAAGAAAAUUAGAUCGUUCGAAUUAGUUAUGACAAUAUAUUUUAUUUUAUUUUAAUAUUAAAUAAAUUCAAACAAAUAUUUUAAAAUAAUUAAAUCUAAUUAUAAAGGAAAUCAUAAUUAAAUUAUUUUAGAAGUAAUUUUGAAUUGAUCUUACACGCUCUUUAUCAAAAUAUAAUACUUUUAAAAUAUCCAAAAUCAGAUAAAUAUUUAAUGAAACUCAAAAUAAUAACAUAUAUGUUUAAAAAAAAUUCUAUUAUAGUUUGAAUAAAUAUUUAAUUUCUCAUUUAUAAGAUAUUUUUAAAAUAACAUUAUUAAUUAUGAAAAUAAAUAGUAUUAUAAUUUUUUCAAAUAGAUUAAAUUAAAUUUGUACAGUAUUUUGGACCACUUUUUAUCCACUUUCACCAUUCAAACAUAUGUUUUGAACCGCUAGAUCCACUUGAUCCACACUUGAACCGCUCGAUCCGCUUGAUCCACUCUUGUUCCGCUCAAUCCGCUUGAUACGCUAGAUCCGCAACGCUUGAUCCGCUUUCUCCAUUCGGAACCUAAAUGUGACCAAGAGAAUAUGUAGAAAUAGUAAAUUUCUUAACAGUUCUUACUAUUUACAUCAUUUACAAGAAAUAUUUGUUCUUUAUGAUUCCUUAACAUUCCUUAAAAUUUAGAAAAUAAUAGACUAUAAUUAUUCCUCAUAAAAUUAAGAAAAACAAUAUUUUACUUUCGUUUUAUUCCUCUUUAUUCCUUUUUUUCAUAUUCCUUAUAUUCCUUUAUGAUCACCGGUUAGUGGCUAAGUUUAAGAAAAAGUUAAAUUUACAUUUGUGAAAGGACAGAACUUAUGUUCACCUUCUAGGGUGAACCUUUAAAUUCACUUCACCUUUUAACACCAUUCAAAUUUACACAUAAAUUAUUAAUUAAAAAACAUUAAAUUAAAUAAAAAAAUAGCUACAAAAAAAAAACACUAAUUUUAACGACGCUAACGCUUCCAGCGAAACCCUAAAUCUUAAAUUUUAAACCCUAUACCCUAAAUUCUAAAAUCAAAUCCAAACCCCUAAACCCAAACCCUAUACCCUAAACCUUAAUCUUAAACCCUAAACCCAAACUAUAUACCCUAACCCUAGACCCUAAACACAAAUUAUAUACCUUAAACCCAAAAAAUAGACUAUAAACGUAAACUAUAUACCCUAAACCCAAGUUUUAGAUCAUAAACCUAAAGCGUAAACCUUAACCCAAACCCUAUAGCAUCUAAGUUUGGGGUUUGGGUUUAGGGUUUACCGUUUAGGUUUUAGGUCUAGAAUUUGGGUUUAGGGUAUAGGUUUUGGGUUUAGGAUUUACGGUUUGGGUUUAGGAUUUAUCGUUUGGACUUAUGGUUAAAGUUUUGGGUUUAGGGUAUAUAAUUUAGGUUUAUGGUAUAGGUUUUGGAUUUAGGGGUUUGGAUUUGGGUUUAGAGGUUUGGAUUUGGGUUUAGAAUUUAGAGUAUAAUGUUUAGAAUUUAAGAUUUAGGGUUUAGAGUUUAGGUGGAAACAUUAACGUCGUUAAAAUUGCGUUUUUAUUUUUUGUAGCUAUUUUUUAUUUAAUUUAGUAUUUUUUAAUUAAUAAUUUAUGUGAAAAUUUGAUUAGUUUUAAAAAGUGGGAUGAAUUUAAAGAUUCACCCCUAUGGGAUGAACCUAAGUUCUGUCCUUUGUGAAAUAUGUAAGGAACUUCCUCAUCGUAAAAUACCAAAGACGUGGCGAGAAUGUAAUCUUAAUGUGAACAAAUUUCGAUCGUGCAAUAAAACUGAAACUAAUUUACAAAAAAAAACUGAAACUCGAGUUAUAAGAAAAUAAAAAUAAUUACUUUAGAUACCCCGUUAUAUUAUAGUGGGGGAGUGUAAUUAUGACUGAUGUGCACGUGGAGGCGUGGCUGGGAAUUGCCAUCAUAUGUAUGGAACCACAAAUCAAAUGUUUGUAAGGUUUUACCCGUGACGACAAGUCAGAACACUCUUCACCACCUUCUCCUUUCAGCUUUUUGUCUCUUCUUUAUUUCUCUUUUUAUAGUAAGAACAAAUAUUUUUAACGCAUUCACUCUCUAAAGUUCAACCUUUUUGGAAGCAUAAUGCCACUAUGUACAUUUUUGUAGGCUAUAUAUUUUUGGGUCAAUGUGUAGGCUAUAUUUGAUUAGUUAUAUUUAUAAAAACAUUACUCGAUAACGUAAAACAUUGUCUUGUUUAUCAUUAUAGGAGGAACCCGAGUAAAGACCCCACAAGUUUACUCGUGGAUUUUAAGUAAUAACGGAAGUUCUUAAUUUGGAUUUAUUUGAAGAAUAAACACUGUCUUGGUAUUGGCCUUGAAGAAAGAUAAAUGGAAAUUUAUUAAUAAGAAAAAUGUCACAUUCCGAACCAAAAAGAAAAAGAGAGUAUAAGUUAUUUAAUGUGGAUAAACCAUGAAGAAUGUUUGCAGCCGAAGGUUACUCACCCAACUAAAGCUCUUUAGCCUUUUGGGCACGCGGGUUCACAUUCAAGUUUCAACUCAUAGGUGAUAGGUGUACAAACACAUUUUUUGUCACCUAAAAAUACUUAAAUAUAUGGUGUUCUCCCCCAUUCACUACUUAGUUGUGUCUCUCUGCUCCAAGAAGAUCUCCAUUCACCAAUGCGCUCCCCUUAUCCAAUCCGUAAGAAAAUAAGCUUCACAAAUAAGACUUUCAUACGCGUGACGAAUGGUACUCAUAACCACUGUCAUUAAUGGUAUCACAAACUUCUGUAUAAGUGCCUUCAUAUUUGCAAAAGCCUUCACUGACGAGAUUGACUCCUUGUGUGGAAAGUUCUUAUGGAAAGAAAAUUGUGAAGCUCAGUCCUUAGAAAAAGUAGCACGGAGUUCAUGCUGCAAAAGCAAAAAAUGAAAGAGGGUUAGGUCUGAGAAACCUUUGAAACUGGAACAAAGUGUGUGCAAUGAAGUUAAACCCUAACUCAACGAAUAUGUUAAAAUCCGACAAUAAUUAAUAAAGCCCAAAACGCGCAUAAAUAAAUUUCUAUAGUAGACGUGCAGAAGACGUAAGAUGUGCUGCAUUAGCGGGUCAACACCUUUUUCAGGGUCUUCCACACGAAGACCCCAUGAGUCACACUGAAGAACUUUAGGAUCUAGUCUCGAGUAUCGUUGGUCAUGAAGUCUCUGAAGGAUACAUACUCUGCAAAAAAUUUCUCCACUCUCUCUCAAGGGAUGCGUCUAACUGGCUCAAGCAACUGUAACCAAGAUCUCUCAUUACCUGGGAUGACAUAAAAAAGGCCUUCCUCAACAACUUUCUCAAAGACGCUGCAGCACCUCAUGAGAGCAAGUUGGAAUCUAUCUGUGCUAGUAAAAAUUCUAGAGGGCCAGUAGAAGAUGUCUGGUUAUUUCAAAACAGCCAAGUCUGGAGGAAAGAGCAGAAAGCGGAAGAAGAAACAUAAGAGAAAAAAGAAGAAUGAUGACUUCUUGACAGUGGUUCCUCAGACUUGUUCAGAUGAGUACCUUGAGUACUGAGUGUGCAACAGAGGAGGUUUGAAACCUUUUACCUGGAUUCGAGUGCUUGUUACUCUAGAGCUAAGAGAGAAUGGAGAAGCUUCUGCAAGAAUCUUCAUUGACUUCAUGAACAAACUACUGAAGCAAGUUCCCAUUCUCAUCUCGACAAAACUUGAUAUCCAAAAGUCAAGCUAAUGACUAAAAACAAGCACUUGAUGGGAGGCAACCCAUUGGUAAGCUUUAAUUUUAGUGUAAAUUUCAUUUUUACUAAUUUUCAUAUUUUUAGUACCAUUCUUUGAGGUUAUUGACUGCAUGGUAUAUUAAAUGGAAACACCAAAACUGAUCACCUGCCAAUAACAUCCACGCUUGUUGAGAAAAUCAUAAGGAACCAAAGCUGACUUCCAACCUUAAUCCAUUUAAUAGUUUGUCUUGGGGCUUGGUAUACAUGAUGUGCUAAAAUUACCAUAGAGAAACUCUCUCAAAUAAGAGAUCAGUUGCAGUAUUUAGGAAUCCAAUCCACAGAGACUCGUUAUUUCACACAAUAGACUUGAGUUUCAGAUUUAGCUAGGCAAAAUAUAAUAUAAAACAAUAAAUAAGAAAGCAGUAAAAAAAAGAUAGUUUGUAAGCAGAUGGGAUAAGGGGCUAGACUUAGGGUUUCAUUAGGUUAAAUCUAUAGAUGUUAAGGAGUUGAUCCUAGAACUCAAAAGCAAUAAUAAGAUAUCUAACUCUCACUGUGAGUCUACAUGUUUAAAUUUGUAUUCAUACUUAUGGGUAUUUAAUACGGAACGAGUCGAUUGAUACACCUAUAGAGUGUCGAUAAAUACGUCUUUUAAACCGGCUUUAUCGUUCAGAUCGAUAAGUUCACUAGGUUAACUCAAAGAUUGAAGCGAUGGGGUAGGCAAAUUUCCUAUGACUUCAUUAUUCAACUACACUUUGCAAAGAAAAAAAAUGAAAGAAAAGAAAGAAAAAAAAGAAAAAGAAAAGAUUCAGAGAAGAAAAAAAAAGGGAAAAGAAAUCAGAAUAAGACUACAUGUUUACUCCAAAGCCUGUUAGGGUAAGAGCUCAUGUGUUCAUUGAUUGAUACUUCCAAGAUAAAGACUACACAUUCUUUUGCAGAAAUGAGGUCAGUAAAGGGGUAUACCAAGUGGCGUCAGUUAAGCUGUGGGAUGGAUGGUAUGGCUGCGAAGCCAAGGUUUAAUACAUGGAAGUUCCUCUAGAGUUGACACUGAUCUAAUGUGGUUUGCAACAUUGCAGAGGUGAAGGUAGUAGUUUAAAAAAAUUGCGAGUUCCUUCGUUUUAAAACCUCUUUGACAUGACUAAUCUAUUUUUGCUUGAUGACAAACAAAAAGAUAAGUCGGGAGAAGUUGAUAUACCAUGAAUUUUACCACUUUUAUACCAUGGUAUAAGUCAUUUUUAGUGUCUAUUAUAUGUGUUUAGAUUGUGUUUAAAGUUUUUUCAGGUUUAGGUCAAGUUUGGGCUAUUUUGGAGAUUCUAGAGCUUUUUGAGGUGCAAAGCUGUCCAGAUGCGUCAGAAAUUUAGCUAUGGUUUGAAGUCUUAUCGCAUUGAGAUUGAGCCCAUAUAUAGACACAUGAUAUAUUUUUUAGUUAGCUUUCCAAUACUACCAGUUUUAGGUCAAUAAGGAUCAUGGAUCAAAAGUUAUGUCCGCUUUACUGAAGAAUGGUCCGUCUGACUCGCGAGAGAAAACUAUCGAGAAUCAACUACUGUUGAUCGACGACACCUUGGUGUCGAUAAAAAAUCCUCCAAAUCAGCAAAUCGUCGUAUUUUAAAGAAUUUUUAAGAAUUACCACUUUACCCCAAAGUUUUCCUUAUUUACAGAAGACCCCUAUCCAACUUUAAACCCUAUAUAUAUGUUUUCUAAGCCAAUAUUGACAGCUACAUUUUCUUUUAUUCUUAGUUUUAGGGUUGGAGAUAAGAGAAGAACUCCUUUAGGAUUCUUUUGGAACUCCUUUGGUUUUAACAUUGAUUUAUUUAUCUAUUAUCUAUUCAGACUAUGUUUUGUGUUUCUUAGAUUAGGAUUGCUAGGGUGUUUUUAGAUCUAUACACCAGGGUAGCUUGUAAUACUAGGAUUUAGAGUAGUUAGAAUAGCAGGAGAGUGUGACUUAUUAUCUGAACUUAAAAUCAUAAGACAAUUGAGAGGUACGAGAGUGCAAUCGAUUAACGAAACCUGAACCCUAAGUGGAUUAGAGACCUAGGCGCAUUCGAAAGAUGGUCUAGGAUUUAGUUGAACAUUAUUAACUGAUCGUUAAUGCUUGUCUACAGAGGUGUCAAUCGACAUUAUCUGUAGUAUCGAACGACACUCUUCUUUGUUCGCAUGCGAGUGCUGGAACAUAAGAUUUAGAUAUCUGAUUAGACUUGCAGCGAGAGAUAGUUAUUCUAAGGAAUAAAAUUAACACGGUUAUUUAUUUUAUGUUUUCUGUUUUUUUUUUUUAAAUAAACUUAUGUAUGUUUUGGUAAUGAUAUUUAAUAUUUUAUUAUUUCCAUGAUAAAUAUUUUACUAUUAAGAAUAUUUUCAAUUUAUUAUUUUAAAAGCAAAAACUAAAACUAAAAACUAAAAACCAACAUCUAAAAUUACCAUUCGUGCUUUUCAAAAAACUAAAAUCUAGUGCAAAGUCAAAAACCAAAAAAAAAAAAUAUAAAAUCCAAAACCCAAAAACUAAAAACUAGAAACCAAAAUCCAGAAUCUAGAAACCAAACAAACGAUUAAUCUCCCACAUCAAGAGUUUAACUCAGAAAUGAAUAAUAUAUAAAGGGUUACGGUGAAUUCACUUAAUCACCAAUUGGUUUUAAGUUAGAAUCCCAUGAUAAGUCUGAAUUUAACAUGGUAUUAGAGCUGGCCUACACUUUGGCUCAUUUAUCCGGCUAGGACAGUGGUCCGAUCAUCCCACUAAUCGAUGGUCCAGGAAAUGCUCAAGUCCACCGAGAUAGCAAAAAAAUAGCAUUAUCUCGGAGGGGGUAUAAUGGAUUAUCUCGAGAUUAAUGGUUAUAUGCACCAUUAUCUCGGCGGAUGGUGUUGGAGAUUAAGAUCCUAUAUCGGAAAGACAAAAUGGACUUAAAUAAUAUAUAAGGGACUUAAGCCAAUCCAUUUACCAUCAACUUGUUUGAAGUUAGAAGCCCAUUGUAAGCCCAAUUUAACAUAGAAAAGCUUCAAAUAGAUCUUAAGAGAAUUUUCAACUCCUCUUUAUAUUUACCUUUAUAAUAGUAUUUAGAGGCAAAAUUCACUCCAACACAACUUUAUUUGAUCCACUAAAUUAGAAAUUGCUAUUUUUUCUUCUAUAAUAGAAAAAUAGCAAUUCUAUAUUUUUAUUUGUAGUUAAAUAUUAUUAGUUUACAUGAAUACAUUGGAAUAAACUUCAUCUUUAUUAUAGUGUACAUCUAUCUCUAGACAUUAUUAGAUAAGUGGUUUGUCAUGUGUCAUCACCACAUAUAACAAUGAUGACAUGGCUUGAAGCUAAUUGUGAAAUAAAUAUUCACAUUUAAUAUGACUUAUAUUUUGGCAAGUUUUAUAAAAUAUGGUAAUAACUCAAAGAUCAUCAUUUAUAUAACAACACAUAAUAUAAUAGUAGAAAUAUAAAUAUAAUAGUUUUAAAAUUUUUUAAAAUUAUUAUUUAAUUUUACUUAUCAUAAUUAUAUAUCUUUUGAUGCUAAAAAAAUUCUUCAAAUUUUAUGCAGUUUUUCUUUAAAUUAUAAUUUCUGAUCCCAAUACCAUUAGUUUCUUUUUAUUAUUUACAAAUUUUAUUUAGUUUUACGUUUUGAUAAUUAUAUAUAACAAAAUUUUCUCUUGAUUUUAUGGAAUUUUAUUAAAUAUAAAUAAACCAAAAGAAAUAGAUAAAAAAUAUUCCAAAACUAUUAUUUUAAAUAUAUACAUAUAUAUAUUAUUAAAUAAAAAUUUAAAUAAAAAUUAUUUAUACUAAUUUUUAAAUAUAAUUAAAUUAAAAAAAUAAUGUAAGCGAAUAAUAAAAGCUAAAGCUACUAAAAUUUUAUUUUUAAAUAUACUUUAAAUUUUAAAAACUUUUAUUUCUACACUAGAAAAACACGUAGUUUUAGAGAUAAAAAUAAAAAAAAAUAUAUUGGAGAUGAUGUAAAAGAUAUAGAAGCUUCCUAUAGAAUUUUGGAGUUUCAUGUAGUGGUUGAUAGCUAAAACUGAAAAUCGCAAUCAGAUGAAUCUAAUUAAGAAGCACGUUAAAACUUUUCAAUAGAUAAAAGCAUUGUUUUCUGUAGAUUAUGUACGUUUUUGUAUUUGUAUAUACAUCAUUGUAAACUUUAUCCUUAUCUAAAAGUAAGUAAUAAAAAAAAAA